rnacentral:ncRNA from 2 species
AAAGUUGGACUGGGAGACAAAAUAUUCCCAACAGGACGAGGGAACGUCACAAUUACCCUCGAGCGUUAAGGACUGUGAUUGUAUCUGCACCUUAUCGUUACCGUAGUU